GAUGAAGAACGUAGCGAAAGGCGAUAAGUAGUGUGAAUUGCAGAAUUCAGUGAAUCAUCGAAUCUUUGAACGCACAUUGCGCCCCUUGGUAUCCCGGGGGGCAUGCCUGUUCGAGCGUCAUUAUAACCCCUCAAGCUCAGCUUGGUGUUGGGGCCUGUCGACUGGCAGCCCUUAAAAUCAGUGGCGGCGCCAUCUGGCUCUAAGCGUAGUAAUUUCUCUCGCUAUAGAGUCCCGGUGGAUGCUUGCCAGCAACCCCCAACUUUCUAUGGUUGACCUCGGAUCAGGUAGGGAUACCCGCUGAACUUAAGCAUAUCAAUAAGCGGAGGA
rnacentral:misc_RNA from 1 species